AGGAGUAGGGCGAGGCAGGACCCCCGGGCCUGCCUGGGGCGACAGGACUGGAGGCGGCGGGGUGCGCCGCUGCUGCCAGCCAGAGCAGGUCAGGCGGAACUGGCUGGAGCAAGGGCCCGACUCGGCUGGCAGCAGCCCCUGUUCCCACCCCCUUCAAAGUGGGGGAGCGCGGGGGGCAUACAUGCUUUGUUGUUGUUGAUUUGGCUUUUAAGCCCACCGGGUCGGUUUGUGUCUCUUUAAAGGCCUGGGCUGGGCGGCGGCAGCAGCAGCAGGAGAAGCUGCUCAGUAGGAAAGACAAGGCAGGGCUGGGCCCAAUCCCCGGGGCUGAGGGGCGGAAGCCUGAGAGGUGAACCACAUCUGUUAUUGGCUGGGGAGCCUGGAACAGGAAAAUCUCAGUUUCUAAAAUAUGCAGUAAAGAUUACUCCACGAUCUGUACUGAGAGCAGGAAUUGGAUCUACAAGUGCAGGGCAUUAUUCUUAUGUGAAGGAGCAUCCCUACACUGUAUUCCUGUCUGUCGCAACACCGCUGGGACUCCACCACAUCGUCCGACUGCACCGUGUAGACCAGAACAAGCUCAGCUCCAGCCGACAGGGUUUGCUUCCUAAUGUUGCUUAUGCCAUCAAAGCAUACGGGUUGGCUUAAUCUGGACAUUACUCAAAGAACAUUACUGUAUUAUUAUUAAAAGUACAAUUUAGGCAUUG